CGGGAGGCGAGCUACGGAAGCUGCAGGGGGCUGGUCCGCCCAGUCGUUUGGAGGCGGGCGGCCGGAGGGAAGAUGGUUUACAUCUCGAAUGUUUCAAAACUCUGCUUCAGCAAGAUGUGAAAAAAAGAAGAGGCUAUGGAAGCUCAUCUGAUUCCAGAUAUGAUGAUGGAAGAGGGCCACCAGGAAACCCUCCACGAAGAAGAAUGGGUCGAAUCAGUCAUCUUCAAGGCCCCAGCCCUCCUCCAAUGGCUGGCGGAUGAGGAAGGUAAACGUCUGCUCUGCGGAGCAGACGACUAGACAUGCACAUGUGUAGAAGGAAACCAUCAAGAAGAGGUGAAGAGCGGCUUAUGCAGGACAAGAUGGUGUAUGUCUAAACAAGGACUGCUCUGUGUCCUCACAGAUAAAUGAGGUCAUGCUGGGAAUUCCCUCUGUAGGAUCUGGCCUGACUGACAUGCAGUUAGAUAAAUGUACAUGUUUGUCUCCUUAUCUUUUUUGUAUAGUUUACUAAAGUAUUAAUAUAGUUUUAAUAAGUAAAUAUUUCUAGGUUGUAAAACUUGACUCUUUGUCUUUAUAUGAUUAAACCCCAAGUCUCUGAUCUGGAAGAAAUAAAGGAAAUGUAUUUAGUUCUGGUUUUUUGUUUGUUUGGUUUGGGUUUUUGCUUUUUCAAAACAGCGUUUCUUUGUGUGUUGCCAGUCAUCCUGGAACUAGAUCUAUAGACAAGGCUGGCCUUGAACUCAGAGAUCUGCCUGCCUCUGCCUACCAACUGUUGGGAUUAAAUGUGUGUGCCGCUGCCACCUGGCUCCAAUGUAUUUAUCCCUGUUAAUGUUGCCUUUUUUCCAACUUCUGAAAUACUGCUCAUUGUUAUCUUGCUCUCAUUUAUAAAUAAACCACAAUAUAAUUAUUUCAGCAGUUAAA